GAGAGAGCAUCCCGAUUUGUAAUCGGGACGGCAAAGGUUCGAAUCCUUUCGCGCUCA
rnacentral:tRNA from 1 species